rnacentral:misc_RNA from 1 species
AAGGGCAUGUAGUUAUCUAGUCGAGCUGUGCUGCCUGCCGGGAGAGCUGCCUGCCAUCGCCACGGAUUGAAAAUGUGGGGGUCUUCAUACACCACAGAAUCCAGAUGAGAAGCUGACAAAACAGGAAUAAUACUCCAACCUCGGGGAAUAUCAUACCCUUUAAAUUGGACAUCAACCUUGGCUUUCCUAUGGACAGUCUUG